rnacentral:rRNA from 1 species
UACAGAGGUCUCAAGCGUUGUUCGGAUUCAUUGGGCGUAAAGGGUGCGUAGGUGGCUAGGUAAGUCGGAUGUGAAAUCCCGGGGCUCAACCCCGGAACUGCAUUCGAUACUGCCUGGCUUGAGUACUGGAGAGGAGAUUGGAAUUUACGGUGUAGCAGUGAAAUGCGUAGAUAUCGUAAGGAAGACCAGUGGCGAAGGCGGAUCUCUGGACAGUUACUGACACUGAGGCACGAAGGCCAGGGGAGCAAACGGG